ACUCAUACCUAAACCCUUGGGGGCUGUGCUCUAAAGGCUACCAAGAUCUGGGUGAAUGCUACAGAGAUCUAUCACAGGCAAUCCAAAAGGCUGUGUGUGCAACCUAGUGGCCCGGCCUUAUUUCACACCUGCAUCAUCU
rnacentral:snoRNA from 1 species